AGCCUCAAUCUCAGCAUUUGCUCCUGGCUGUGAGCUUCAAACCCUAUUUCCUGCGUGGCAGACAUACAGCCUAACACAUGUCAGGAAGACAGCUUGAGCAGAGCUGCUGGGAACAAGCAUAGCUACUGCCCGGGCGCCGCUCCGGGAAAAUCACGUUCGCGGUGGGAAAGAGGCUUGGAGUCCCCACGAUGGCUUCACGCUGCGUUGCACUUUGAAGAUAAAAACCCCUUCGUCUGAAUUCCGUGAUUAGUAUUUAAAGACUCAAGUGAAAUAUUUGUAGGCAGAAAAACCUAACCGAGGAAUGCCUGUGUUCAAGCAUUCAAUAGAGCCUAUUCACAGGAUAGAUUCCAGGGUUAUUAUUAGCAAUAAGGUUAUCUUUGGCAUAAUCUUUUAUGCACAACAUGCUAUUGGAUUCCACCCUCCCUUUUCGCUCAGGCCCUGGGGCAGAAGGCAGACAAACCAGAGCUGGUUCAAGCCUUGCAAGAGUUUUUCAUGCAAGUGGAGCUGAAGCCUGGCAAAGUUUGCCAUGGUUAUAUUUAGGACAAACCAUGAGAUUUUUCUGGUGCAAGAUGCACGCCCCAAAAUGCUUCUGCAUGGAGUGUGUUGCCCUUGGGGUAUCUCCAGCCCUGCCAGCACAGGCUGUAGGGGACCUGCUGCACUCUGGGGACAUCUGUGACACCUCGUGGGGGGUGACCCUUCAAUCUGAAUGGAGAGGGAUGGGUUGGGCUGGUCCUAUGCCUGCAGGUCAUGGGGGCAGCUCUGAGCAUCCUCUGGGCAGGUGAGAUUUCACAGGUCUGGACACAGCUCUGGGCUUGGACAGGUCUGGACACAGCCUGGGAGAGAAGCCCUGCCAGCCACACCACGGGGUGAUUCUCUUUUGAGGAGCUGGAAUUGGCUCUCUGCUGGCUUGGAUGUGCCCUGGGGGUCCCUCCUGCCCCCAGCCCCAGCCAGGAGGGCUGACACGAGUGGGGCUGCAGGCCCACAGUAGUGGCUUGAUCUGGGCAUGAAAGGAGAGAGAGCAGCUGUCGCCUCCUGCCUCUCUUAAUUUGGCGGUAUUAAAGAUUUAUGGUAGCUCUCAUAAAGCUGAAUGUAGGA